rnacentral:rRNA from 1 species
CAGUCGCCACGGUAAUACGUAGGUGGCAAGCGUUGUCCGGAAUGAUUGGGCGUAAAGCGUCUGUAGGUGGCUCUUCAAGUCCGCCGUCAAAUCCCAGGGCUCAACCCUGGACAGGCGGUGGAAACUACCAAGCUGGAGUACGGUAGGGGCAGAGGGAAUUUCAGUGGAGCGGUGAAAUGCGUUGAGAUCGAAAAGAACACCAACAGCGAAAGCACUCUGCUGGGACGACACUGGCACUAAGAGACGAAAGCUAGGGGAGCAAAUGGGAUUAGAUACCCCAGUAGUCCCUGUCUCUUAUACA